rnacentral:rRNA from 1 species
CCUACGGGCGGUGCAGUGGGGAAUAUUGCACAAUGGGCGCAAGCCUGAUGCAGCCAUGCCGCGUGUGUGAAGAGGCCUUCGGGUUGUAAAGCACUUUCAGCGGGGAGGAAGGCGUUAAGGUUAAUAACCUUGGCGAUUGACGUUACCCGCAGAAGAAGCACCGGCUAACUCCGUGCCAGCAGCCGCGGUAAUACGGAGGGUGCAAGCGUUAAUCGGAAUUACCGGGCGUAAAGCGCACGCAGGCGGUCUGUCAAGUCGGAUGUGAAAUCCCCGGGCUCAACCUGGGAACUGCAUUCGAAACUGGCAGGCUAGAGUCUUGUAGAGGGGGGUAGAAUUCCAGGUGUAGCGGUGAAAUGCGUAGAGAUCUGGAGGAAUACCGGUGGCGAAGGCGGCCCCCUGGACAAAGACUGACGCUCAGGUGCGAAAGCGUGGGGAGCAAACAGGAUUAGAUACCCUAGUAGUC